UACGUAGGGAGCAAGCGUUGUCCGGAAUCAUUGGGCGUAAAGCGCGCGUAGGCGGCCUCAUAAGUCCGUUGUGAAAGUCAAAGGCUCAACCUUUGAAAGCCGAUGGAUACUGUGAGGCUAGAGUCCGGAAGAGGAGAGUGGAAUUCCCGGUGUAGCGGUGAAAUGCGCAGAUAUCGGGAAGAACACCUAUGGCGAAGGCAGCUCUCUGGGACGGUACUGACGCUGAGACGCGAAAGCGUGGGGAGCGAACAGG
rnacentral:rRNA from 1 species